CCCGCCAGUGCCCCAACGGGGUCCUAGUUAUUUUUCUGCCCCUUUGAACUGGAAAAUGGCCCACUUCCCACUGGUGAAAAGUCAUGAAAUUUGGCAGGACGACCGGGCCUGGUGAAAAAUUCGAUAUUCUGAAGUCGCCCAAAAAAUCAAAUGCAAAAUGGCUCCAUAGCGCCCCCUAAGGUGAAAAAUUCACAUGAUUGAGUGUCACGCCUGUACGCUUUGUCAAAAUGACACAAAAUUUGACACACACGUGUAUCUCAAUAAGAUCUACAAAAAAGUCAGUGCGGGCGUAUCUGUCAAAUGUACGGUUAAAGGGUUAUUUCGCAUUUUUUGCCGAUCCGCACACAUUGGAAUUUCGCUAACUCCUCCGAAGGUUUUCGUUCCACCGGCACCACAUUUGCUCAGGCCAAUCUACACCCCAUGGCCAAUAAAAGUUGUACAAAUUAUGACGCUGCACCCAUCGGUUUACGUUCUAGGGGGCGCCAAAGAUAACCCAAAAAUCCACAGUCUUAAAAGUCUUAUAACUUUUUAUUUUUGUCCUCACUGGCCUCCAAGUUCUCUAGGAUGAUGCAAUGUCCAGCCAUCAACACAUUUGUGAAGGAAUUUUUACUCGCCAAAAGAGCGCCCCCCCAUGGCAGGAGAAAAAUGUCCAUUUUUUCUUGUCUCCUAAGGCGAAAAUACACAUCGUUGACUGUCACGCCUUUACGCUUUGUCAAAAUGACACAAAAUUUGACACACACAUGUAUCUCAAUAAGAUCUACAAAAAAGUCAGUGCGGGCGUAUCUGUCAAAUGUACGGUUAAAGGGUUAUUUCGCAUUUUUUGCCGAUCCGCACACAUUGGAAUUUCGCUAACUCCUCCGAAGGCUUUCGUUCCAACGGC
rnacentral:lncRNA from 1 species